rnacentral:rRNA from 1 species
AGCGAACGCUGGCGGCAGGCUUAACACAUGCAAGUCGAGCGGGCACUUUCGGGUGUCAGCGGCGGACGGGUGAGUAACGCGUGGGAACGUGCCCUCUGGUUCGGAAUAACUCAGGGAAACUUGAGCUAAUACCGGAUACGCCCUUUUGGGGAAAGGCUUGCUGCCGGAGGAUCGGCCCGCGUCUGAUUAGCUAGUUGGUGAGGUAACGGCUCACCAAGGCGACGAUCAGUAGCUGGUCUGGGAGGAUGCUCAGCCACACUGGGACUGAGACACGGCCCAGACUCCUACGGGAGGCAGCAGUGGGGAAUAUUGGACAAUGGGCGCAAGCCUGAUCCAGCCAUGCCGCGUGAGUGAUGAAGGCCUUAGGGUUGUAAAGCUCUUUUAUCCGGGACGAUAAUGACGGUACCGGAGGAAUAAGCCCCGGCUAACUUCGU